rnacentral:rRNA from 1 species
ACUGCUAUCGGGGUCCGACUAAGCCAUGCGAGUCAUGGGGCUCCCUUUUGGGAGCACCGGCGAACGGCUCAGUAACACGUGGCUAACCUACCCUCGGGUGGGGGAUAACCUCGGGAAACUGAGGCUAAUCCCCCAUAGGGGAGGAGGUCUGGAAUGAUCCCUCCCCGAAAGGCGUAAGCCGCCCGAGGAUGGGGCUGCGGCGGAUUAGGUAGUUGGUGGGGUAAUGGCCCACCAAGCCUACGAUCCGUACGGGCCCUGAGAGGGGGAGCCCGGAGAUGGACACUGAGACACGGGUCCAGGCCCUACGGGGCGCAGCAGGCGCGAAACCUCCGCAAUGCGCGAAAGCGCGACGGGGGGACCCCGAGUGCCCUGCCUCUGGCAGGGCUUUUCCGGAGUGUAAACAGCUCCGGGAAUAAGGGCUGGGCAAGUCCGGUGCCAGCAGCCGCGGUAAUACCGGCGGCCCAAGUGGUGGCCACUGUUAUUGGGCCUAAAGCGUCCGUAGCCGGCCCGGUAAGUCUCUGCUUAAAUCCCGCGGCUUAACCGCGGGGCUGGCAGAGAUACUGCCGGGCUUGGGACCGGGAGAGGCCGGGGGUACCCCAGGGGUAGCGGUGAAAUGCGUUGAUCCCUGGGGGACCACCUGUGGCGAAGGCGCCCGGCUGGAACGGGUCCGACGGUGAGGGACGAAGGCCGGGGGAGCAAACCGGAUUAGAUACCCGGGUAGUCCCGGCUGUAAACUCUGCGGACUAGGUGUCGCGUGCCCUUCGGGGGCACGCGGUGCCGAAGGGAAGCCGUUAAGUCCGCCGCCUGGGGAGUACGGUCGCAAGACUGAAACUUAAAGGAAUUGGCGGGGGAGCACUACAACGGUGGAGC